rnacentral:rRNA from 1 species
UACAGGGGGGGCAAGCGUUGUUCGGAAUUACUGGGCGUAAAGGGCUCGUAGGCGGCCAACUAAGUCGGAUGUGAAAUCCCCAGGCUUAACCUGGGAACUGCAUCCGAUACUGGAUGGCUUGAAUCCGGGAGAGGGAUGCAGAAUUCCAGGUGUAGCGGUGAAAUGCGCAGAUAUCAGGAGGAACACCAAUGGCGAAGGCAGCACUCUGGGACGUGACUGACGCUGAGACGCGAAAGCGUGGGGAGCAAACAGG